GAGACUAGGGCGGAAGGAAACAAAAGUUGGCAAUGCUUAUUGCGCGUGCCCUCCUGUUGAAACGGUAGAACCCGGGACAUAAGGAGCUAUCAACAAGGGCUCAGCAGAAAAGCAGCCGGCUACUGUGUAUAUGAAGGACAAGGUACCACUAGCUCAUAGCGUGCGGUAAGCCCUUCAAAGGUUUGGCGCCCUUUUCGCCCGUCCCGCAAUAAAUAGCCGCGUCAAUACUUUACCUCUCUGCGAUCCUCCCAUAAAACCUACACCUCCAGCAUGACGUCAUCUUUCACGUCGUUUUCCUCCUCUCCUCUUGCGCACCUCGUCUUCCUGGGCAAACCCGGCAACCACACACAGCUUUUCUCCCCAAUCUACGGUGUUGUCCAUCCCUCUUCACUCUCCUCUUUCAGGCUUCUCAAUGUGAACAUUGUGGCUGGCUUCGUCAAAGAGACUAUAACCCCGUGACCCAGUCCUUAAGCGGCCUAAGGCAUGGGCAACGCAUUCUCAGGCAGCAGUGGCAGGUCCUCAGGCAGCAAUGGCGAGUCAUUAGGCAGCAUUGGCAAGUCCUCAGGCAGCAAUGGCGAGUCAUUAGGCAGCAUUGGCAAGUCCUCAGGCAGCAAUGGCGAGUCAUUAGGCAGCAUUGGCAAGUCCUCAG
rnacentral:lncRNA from 1 species